AGAAGAAGAAGAAGAAGAAGAAGAAGAAGAAGACUGUUGUGAUUUACAAACAUAUGACAGUGGACGGAUGUCAGAUGACCACGUGCUUUGUUGGAGCUGUAUCCGUCAAAAGGGUCCAGAGUAUGGAUGAUGAUUUCACCUUCUCCUGGUCUCCAUCCUCCCAUUUCAGCUGAGAAUUACUUUUGUGUG